UACGGAGGGAGCUAGCGUUGUUCGGAAUUACUGGGCGUAAAGGGCGCGUAGGCGGUUUGCUAAGUUGGACGUGAAAACUCUGGGCUUAACCCAGAGCCUGCAUCCAAAACUGGCAAGCUAGAGUUUUGGAGGGGGAAGCGGAAUUCCCGGUGUAGCGGUGAAAUGCGCAGAUAUCAGGAGGAACACCGGUGGCGAAGGCGGAUCUCUGGGCCUUACCUGACGCUGAGGCGCGAAAGCUAGGGGAGCGAACAGG
rnacentral:rRNA from 1 species